rnacentral:rRNA from 1 species
CCUGGCUCAUGAUGAACGCUAGCUACAGGCUUAACACAUGCAAGUCGAGGGGCAGCAUGGUCUUAGCUUGCUAAGGCCGAUGGCGACCGGCGCACGGGUGAGUAACACGUAUCCAACCUGCCGUCUACUCUUGGACAGCCUUCUGAAAGGAAGAUUAAUACAAGAUGGCAUCAUGAGUCCGCAUGUUCACAUGAUUAAAGGUAUUCCGGUAGACGAUGGGGAUGCGUUCCAUUAGAUAGUAGGCGGGGUAACGGCCCACCUAGUCUUCGAUGGAUAGGGGUUCUGAGAGGAAGGUCCCCCACAUUGGAACUGAGACACGGUCCAAACUCCUACGGGAGGCAGCAGUGAGGAAUAUUGGUCAAUGGGCGAGAGCCUGAACCAGCCAAGUAGCGUGAAGGAUGACUGCCCUAUGGGUUGUAAACUUCUUUUAUAAAGGAAUAAAGUCGGGUAUGGAUACCCGUUUGCAUGUACUUUAUGAAUAAGGAUCGGCUAACUCCGUGCCAGCAGCCGCGGUAAUACGGAGGAUCCGAGCGUUAUCCGGAUUUAUUGGGUUUAAAGGGAGCGUAGAUGGAUGUUUAAGUCAGUUGUGAAAGUUUGCGGCUCAACCGUAAAAUUGCAGUUGAUACUGGAUAUCUUGAGUGCAGUUGAGGCAGGCGGAAUUCGUGGUGUAGCGGUGAAAUGCUUAGAUAUCACGAAGAACUCCGAUUGCGAAGGCAGCCUGCUAAGCUGCAACUGACAUUGAGGCUCGAAAGUGUGGGUAUCAAACAGGAUUAGAUACCCUGGUAGUCCACACGGUAAACGAUGAAUACUCGCUGUUUGCGAUAUACUGCAAGCGGCCAAGCGAAAGCGUUAAGUAUUCCACCUGGGGAGUACGCCGGCAACGGUGAAACUCAAAGGAAUUGACGGGGGCCCGCACAAGCGGAGGGACAUGUGGUUUAAUUCGAUGAUACGCGAGGAACCUUACCCGGGCUUAAAUUGCAGAUGAAUUACGGUGAAAGCCGUAAGCCGCAAGGCAUCUGUGAAGGUGCUGCAUGGUUGUCGUCAGCUCGUGCCGUGAGGUGUCGGCUUAAGUGCCAUAACGAGCGCAACCCUUGUUGUCAGUUACUAACAGGUUCCGCUGAGGACUCUGACAAGACUGCCAUCGUAAGAUGUGAGGAAGGUGGGGAUGACGUCAAAUCAGCACGGCCCUUACGUCCGGGGCUACACACGUGUUACAAUGGGGGGUACAGAGGGCCGCUACCACGCGAGUGGAUGCCAAUCCCCAAAACCUCUCUCAGUUCGGACUGGAGUCUGCAACCCGACUCCACGAAGCUGGAUUCGCUAGUAAUCGCGCAUCAGCCACGGCGCGGUGAAUACGUUCCCGGGCCUUGCACACACCGCCCG